GCCUUCGUGGUGUAGUGGUCAGCGUAUUCGAGAAAUCCGUGGUUCGAGUCCCGGCGAGGGCA
rfam:Stegodyphus mimosarum contig112209, whole genome shotgun sequence.